rnacentral:rRNA from 1 species
UACGUAGGGGGCAAGCGUUGUCCGGAAUCAUUGGGCGUAAAGAGCGUGUAGGCGGCUCGGUAAGUCCGCUGUGAAAGUCCCAGGGCUCAACCCUGGAAUGCCGGUGGAAACUGUCGAGCUAGAGUCCGGAAGAGGCGAGUGGAAUUCCUGGUGUAGCGGUGAAAUGCGCAGAUAUCAGGAGGAACACCAAUGGCGAAGGCAGCUCGCUGGGACGGUACUGACGCUGAGACGCGAAAGCGUGGGGAGCAAACAGG